AUUGAACGCUGGCGGCAGGCCUAACACAUGCAAGUCGAGCGAGCGGUGGACGGGUGCGUAAUGUCUGGGAAACUGCCUGAUGGAGGGGGAUAACUACUGGAACCGGUAGCUAAUACCGCAUACCAUCAGAUGUGCCCAGACGGGAUUAGCUUGUUGGUGGGGUAACGGCUCACCAAGGCGACGAUCCCUAGCUGGUCUGAGAGGAUGACCAGCCACACUGGAACUGAGAAACGGUCCAGACUCCUACGGGAGGCAGCAGUGGGGAAGAUUGCACAAUGGGCGCAAGCCUGAUGCAGCCAUGCCGCGUGUAUGAAGAAGGCCUUCGGGUUGUAAAGUACUUUCAGCGAGGAGGCGUUACCCGCAGAAGAAGCACCGGCUAACUCCGUGCCAGCAGCCGCGGUAAUUC
rnacentral:rRNA from 1 species